rnacentral:tRNA from 1 species
GAGGAUAUAGCUCAAGUGGUAGAGCACAUGCUUAGCAUGCAUGAGGUCCUGGGUUCAAACCACAGUAUUUCCU